CCUACGGGCGGCUGCAGUGGGGAAUAUUGCACAAUGGGGGAAACCCUGAUGCAGCGACGCCGCGUGCGUGAAGAAGUAUCUCGGUAUGUAAAGCUCUAUCAGCAGGGAAGAAAAUGACGGUACCUGAUUAAGAAGCCCCGGCUAACUACGUGCCAGCAGGCGCGGUUAUACGGAGGGGGCCAGCGUUAUCCGGAUUUACUGGGCGUAAAGGGGGCGUAGACGGCAGCACAAGUCUGGAGUGAAAUGCCGGGGCUUAACCCCGGAACUGCUUUGGAAACUGUGCAGCUAGAGUGCAGGAGAGGUAAGUGGAAUUCCUGGUGUAGCGGUGAAAUGCGUAGAUAUUAGGAGGAACACCAGUGGCGAAGGCGGCUUACUGGACUGUAACUGACGUUGAGGCUCGAAAGCGUGGGUAGCAAACAGGAUUAGAUACCCUAGUAGUC
rnacentral:rRNA from 1 species